UUUCCCUAUUUAACGGUUUGUCCAACACAUAUGCAGACUACACUACGUAGUACCUGUAACAGACAUUCUCACCGCACAUCCUCGGACCAGACAUCAUCUAAGAUGGGCGACAACAACCCAGUGAAGCAGGGAGUGGAGACCUUUGACAAGAAGUGUCUAAAGAAGACCAGUACUGCUGAGAAGAACACUCUGCCAACCAAGGAGGAUAUCGAGCAGGAGAAGAAAGCUGAAGAGGGCUCCAAAUGAAACGCCAUGGUUCCUCUCCUCCAGUCAUCCCUCUCUCUUCUCCUCCACCUAAUAAAUAUGUCUAUCGCGUCUGCUUCUUUCCGUAUCGCCAUGUUAGUUAACCACCAUGUUAGUUAAUCACAAUGGCGUUGACUCUGAUGCUGUGGGGUUAGGGGUGCAUGAUUAGUAAAGGGAAGGCCAAUAAGAUUUUAACUGUCAAAUGUUUUGAAUUGUGCUUUUUUAUGCAGUCUUGGUUGGAAAGGGGUGAACUAAGAUAAAGAUGGAUGAGCCAGGGUUGAACAGAAGGAAGAAAUGAACAUGUUGUGUUUACUGUCACCGUCUGUUCCACUGUCAACUAUGCCCAAUGUUCUGCCUGUACACAGUGCCAUUCUGGAUAACUUCUGUAACAAUAACAUGAGAGAAGAUAUUUUUGUUUUAAUAAAAUGAGUGUUGUCAAACUGAA